UCUCUUUGUGUAUUUAGAAUAUUGGCCCUUUGUCAUUUGAUCAUUUCUUGAUUCCAGUUUUUUGUUUACCUUUUGAUGUUGUUAAUGGAGCGUUUUUCUGUGUAAGUUUUAAAUAUUUAGUCUUGGCAUUUACAUAGUCUUUUCUGGUUUUGAAUUUUGCUUUAAAUAUUUGCUCAUAUAUGUGCUUUUAUAGUUUUGUUUUUUUACAUUUAAAUCUUUAAUUCAUCUGGAAGAUAUUUUGGAAUAAGGAAUGAAUCUUGUUCAUUGUAACUUGGUCUAUAGCCAUAGCUUUUUACAUAAAGAUGUGGGGAAAAAAAGGAAGAACAUACACAGAUUGUCAGACUGGCUGUAUCAUUAAAGCUGGACAUUUUUAAAAAAAUGGAAUCCUAGCUAAUACUUUUGGAGGGGAUUAAAAAAUAAAAAUUUUGAGGGGCAUCUGAGUGGCUCAGUUGGUUAAGCCUCUGACUCUUGAUAUCAGCUCAGGUCAUGAUCUCGUGGUCUUGGGAUCAAGCACUGUGUCAGGCUCCAUGCUGAACAAGCCUGCUUGGGAUUCUCCCUCUCUCUCUGCCUUUCCUCCAUUUGUUCUCUCUCUCUCUCUAAAUAAAUAAACAUAAAAAAAAAGAAUAAAAAUUUUGAGACAUAUGGUUUCCCAGAAGAACAAAUUCAAAAGAAUGAUAUGUGGUUAAGGAACUAAUGUUUUCAGAAAAAAUACUGAAAUGUUAACACCCACUUUUCUAUGUAUAGUGUAAACAUUAAACUAUGCCUCUAGUCUGGGAAAGAAAAAGGAAAUGUAAAUAUCCAAAUUUGGUGUAUUUCAGUUUUAUAUUAAUUACUGAAAUGAAAAGACAUGCUUUAAGAAAUUAAAAGUCACUGUGCUAACCACAUCUAUUACAGUGAUGUGAGUGGUUCUCUAUUUGAAAUUUUAACAUGUUGAAAACAACUUUGUCCCUGAUUAGCAUGCCCAUUAAAUUACAUGUGUGUAUUUAGUAGUUUUUUUCUCAUAACCAACAAAAGAAAUUCUUACAUUAGAAAUCCUGGACUUCAGGUUUCCCAGAUGUCUAUUUGGGUGGGUCUUGGCCAACCCAAGCCAGGGAGCCAGGUCUAUCUGCCCAAGGGCAGCAAUGAUUAACUGGGAGGGCAUAAUGAACACUCGAUUGAAACUCGUUGGUCCAUUCAAACUUUCUUUCCACACAGGCAAGUCUUCUAAUUCCGCCCCAGAAAAAGUUCAUGAGACAGUGUAGCAGCAGCGCCUCAGGGAUUAUGGGAAAUCACAACACACAUCUGGCACCAGGCUUCACCCCCAACGACCUUGUUCCAGCACCAGCGAAUGUGGCCGUUUUCUGGGGUCUGCUGGGCCCAGGUGGCCUCACAACCUCUACCAAAUGCCCUUCCAGCAGUGGAACUGCUUCUCCCCAUGUGGCCCGAGAACCUCCUGGACCCCACUCUGCUCCUGGGGAUUUGCCCUUCCCACCAGAGCACCGCCAGGUAUCGAACUGUGGAGUUUCAGACUCUGCUCUCCCCCUGUUUGCAGUCUUAAUGGAAUUUAAAUCCUCUCCUUUCUCCCCUUUUAGUUCAGUCCCUGUGGCUGUUUCCAAUUUUCCACUUUCUCUCCAGCUGCUUUUGGGAAGGGGUGUUUUCCCGUAUUCUCCCCCCGCCCCCAGGCUCCAUCCUCUCUCCACAUGCAAAAGCAGCUCCCUGCCCUCCGCAGCUUCUCUCUCCCCAAGUUCCCCUCUCCACCCCACGUACCUGCUGAAUUCUGUAGUUCAGGUUGUGCAGAUUGUUGUGUUAAUCCUCAGAUCAGUUUUCUAGGUGUGCAGGAUGGCUUAGUGUUGGUCUGGCUGUAUUUCAUAGAUGUGAGGCACACAAAAAACUUCCAUGCUGUUCCACCAUCUGGGCUCCUCUUGGGAGAGAGAGCAUCUUAAGCAGGCUUUGUGCCCAGUGGGGAGCCCCAUGACGGGCUCAGUGUCAGGAACCCACGAGAUCAUGACCUGAGUCAAAAUGAAGAGUGGGAUGCUCAACUGACUGAGCCACCCAGGCAUCCCUCUAAUCACUUCUUAAUGAUCGGUGGACUUGGAAUCAAGCCAAGUUCUGAAUUCUAGUUUCCCUACUUCAAAGCUGUGUAUCAUUAGCAAUUUGCUGUAACUUUCUAAGUCUCAGUUUUCACAUCUGUGAACUGGAAUCAACCCCAAUUUAGGUGAUUGUGGUGAGGAUGAAACCACCGGAUCUGGUAAAUAUAAGCCACUUAACAGUUUUCGUCUCUUCCCUUCCUUUAGGGCUUGACAUCUUUUGGUAGAAAAUUUUAUAGGCUUUAAUACAAAUAUUUUAUAGCAUUCUUAAUAUCCUUUUAACAUGCUGUAAGAAUUCUGGGUAGAAUAUGCAGGAUCCUUAACUAAAUUGGUAGAGAGGAUAAGCUUUAUCUAGCCAUCAUACCAGGUGUUAGUCCCUAAGUGAGCCCCAUAAUGAAGAUCUUCUGAGUCAUGUGUUUGCUGUUUUAUAGUGAACAUCACUGAAAGCUACUAUUUGUAGUAAUCAUGUGUUAUGUUUUCUGGCUGACUGGACUGGCAUCUUUUCUUUCUUUUUUUCGAACUUUUUAUUGGAUACAAUUUCAAACUUACAAACAAGUUGCCAGAAGACUAAAAAAGAAUUCUCUCUCUCUCUCUCUCUCUCUCUCUCUCUCACACACACACACACACACACACACACACCACAACUCAUGGGGGCCCCUGGUUGGCUCAGUCAGUAUACCCUGUGACUCUUGAUCCCAGAGUCAUGAGUUUGAGCCCCACGCUGGGUGUAGAAUAUACUUAAAAAAAAAAAAAGGAACUGUUGCAUACCCUUUAUCCAGACUCACCAAUUGUUUACAUUUUGCCCCAUUUGCUUUAUCAAACUUUCCAUCUCUCUGUCUCUGUCUCUCAACAUAGAUACACACAUACUUUUUUUUUUUCUGAACCAUUUGAGAAUAAGUGGCAGGUAUUAGUCCCUUUGUGCCUAAAUAUUUUUGUAUUUCAUAAGAAUUUUUUUUUACAUAGCUACAGUACUAUAACCAAAAUCAAGAAAUUUAACAUUGAUAACAAUAUCAUAAUCUAAUCAGCAGUCCAUAGUCCCAGUUAUGUGAUGUAACUUCCGACUGACGCACCAGCCACCCCUCCUCUCCAUCUAGGAUGCAGUCCAGGGUCAUGUAUUGCAAUUAGUUAUCAUGUCUCUCUAGUUUCCUGGAAUGUGGAACAGUUCCUGUUGUCUUUCAUGUCCUUUGACCUUGGCAUUUUUUUGUCUUUCAUGACCUUGACAUUUUUUUAAACUAUGUAGGCAGUUGUUUUAUAGAAUGUUUGGGUUCAUGUGGCAUUUCCUAAUGAUUUCAUUCAGGUUGUGUGUUUUUUGCCAGGAGUACCGCAGAAAUGAUAUUGUGUCCUGUGUCAGGGAUGUUGGUUUGUUCCAUUAUUGGUGAUGUUAACUUUUGAUCAUUUGCUUCAGGUCCAAUCAGAGUUUGACUUGGCACCAUGAAUAAACAUGUGCGCUGUGUUUGGAGGAUCUUGAGCCUGAUGAGUGCUGCCCUGCCCAGUCCUUACAAUACUCAUAUUCUGCAUUCUCAUUCCCAAGCUGGAGCAGUUUCACCCACGUGAGAUGCCGAUUCACAAGCGAGUCAUGAGAAGAAGAAAGUUGAGCAAACGGCAGUCAUUUUGCUGAAAAGAAUGGCAGCAGAAACAUUUGGGUUUGGGGCUGCAGGUCCCGAAAACAGUUGCAGCUGUUUUCCUGGCUUCCUGGCAGGGCUGCUCGGUGCCUCGCCAGGCUUGAUCCUGCUCAUCUUUAAGGACCAACUGAGAGCCACCCUUCACAGUCUCUCCUCCUCCCAGAAUCGAGAAAUUUGGACACAGAGACACAGACAAAGAUAAUGUGAAGACACAGGGGAAAGAUGGCCAUCUACAAGUUAAGAAGAGAAGCCUGAAACAAAUGCUUCCCUCAUGGCCCUCAGACUGAACUAAUCCUGCCAACAUCUUGGUCUUCAACUUUGAGUCUCUAGAACUCUAAGACCAUAAAUGUCUGUUGUUUAAGCCAUAAUUUGUUGUACUUUGUUCUGGCAGUAUGAUGUAGCUAUUUUAUAGCUAGCGUAACUGUCUUUCAGAUUUAUAGAC